ensembl:lncRNA
GGGGGAGUGGUAACACUGUCCUCCAGGAGUCAGCUGGUUUGAGGCGGAAGCAAUGUGGUCUCUGGUAAUGCAGGGCCAGGGUUAGGGUUAGGGUUAAUCAAGGUGUGAGCGAUGACGAGGUGUGGGGAAGAUAAACCUGCCACGUCUAUGUGACCUGCAUGACGUCAUCCAAGACGCAUUCUGUUAUUCCGUCGUCAAUGCCAUAAAAAGGACUGUAUGUAGUUCAUGUGGAGUGUGUGUGAGGACUGUAUGUAGUUCAUGUGGAGUGUGUGGAAGGGGACUGUAUGUAGUUCAUGUGGAGUGUGUGAGGACUGUAUGUAGUUCAUGUGGAGUGUGUGAGGACUGUAUGUAGUUCAUGUGGAGUGUGUGGAAGGACUGUGCUGUAUGUAGUUCAUGUGGAGUGUGUGUGGACUGUAUGUAGUUCAUGUGGAGUGUGUGUGAGGACUGUAUGUAGUUCAUGUGGAGAGUGUGGAAGGACUGACUGUAGUUCAUGUGGAGUGUGUGUGGACUGUAUGUAGUUCAUGUGGAGUGUGUGGAAGGGGACUGUAUGUAGUUCAUGUGGAGUGUGUGAGGACUGUAUGUAGUUCAUGUGGAGUGUGUGUGGACUGUAUGUAGUUCAUGUGGAGUGUGUGUGAGGACUGUAUGUAGUUCAUGUGGAGUGUGUGUGGACUGUAUGUAGUUCAUGUGGUGUGUGAGGACUGGGACUGUAUGUAGUUCAUGUGGUGUGUGGAGGACUGUAUGUAGUUCAUGUGGAGUGUGUGAGGACUGUAUGUAGUUCAUGUGGAGUGUGUGAGGACUGUAUGUAGUUCAUGUGGAGUGUGAGGACUGUAUGUAGUUCAUGUGGAGUGUGUGUGAGGACUGUAUGUAGUUCAUGUGGAGUGUGUGGAAGGGGAGCAGGCCUGCGUCAGAUAAGUGAGGGAGGUCUUUUUCUCCUUCAUUAGAGCGAGGAAUUGAUAACACUAGACGGUAAUUACAGUGGCACACGGACAACAAACAUAUUUUCCAGCACAAGGCAUGAGCAAGCGGGGGU